rnacentral:lncRNA from 1 species
GCCAAGUGCUGGGACUGGCAUGCCAUCCUACCUGCUCAACACGCCCAGCAUUGCUGAUGACCUCAUGUACAGUGCUGGCUUGGGCAUAAGCAUCACCCCCUCUGGAACUGCCUGCCUUCCAAACAGAGAUGGCUCAGCCUCUCAAGCCAGGGUUCAUAGAACGGUGGUUUCCAGACCAUGUGUAGAGCUCCGGAAUUCUGAGCUCCAGGCUAGAGGAAGCCUGAGAAGUCCAGGGAGCUCCCAAAGAGCCAAGCUACUCCGCUGGAGUCUCUCUGCCAAGCAUAUGGCACCGACAAGCUCAAUCUAUGCAGCAUCAAGGGAUGGAAAUUACAGAACAGAAGGUCAGGAACAAAAUGAGAUCUUCCACCACUAGUAGGAAGGCUGCAAGUGAAAGGCCACCUGCUCCUCUGGCCCCACUGGCAUCUCUUGGUGUGCUAUAGCCACCCCACAGUCCAGCUAGUGCCAAGCCUGAAUGGCCACCCUCACAUCUUCAUCUUCCUGCCUGGGCCAUGGACUCCUUAGGGGAGGUUGUGUCUCAGCUCCCCCAGCUCAAGCCAUGACAAAAGAGAAUGUGCAUCAAGGAUUGUCCAGGGAUUGAUCGUCCUGGGGUCUGAAAUGCUUUUAGACAGAGGACCUGCGGGUGAACUCAGCCCUACUUCUUUAAGCCUGUGGAGGCUACAGCUGGUGUUGACUGAAUCCCACCCACUGGUAUCAUGUACUACCUGGGAAUAAAGCAGCAGUGCCCUGGC